AGUGAACGCUGGCGGUAGGCCUAACACAUGCAAGUCGAACGGCAGCACAGUAAGAGCUUGCUCUUACGGGUGGCGAGUGGCGGACGGGUGAGGAAUACAUCGGAAUCUACUUUUUCGUGGGGGAUAACGUAGGGAAACUUACGCUAAUACCGCAUACGACCUACGGGUGAAAGCAGGGGAUCUUCGGACCUUGCGCGAUUGAAUAAGCCGAUGUCGGAUUAGCUAGUUGGCGGGGUAAAGGCCCACCAAGGCGACGAUCCGUAGCUGGUCUGAGAGGAUGAUCAGCCACACGGGAACUGAGACACGGUCCAGACUCCUACGGGAGGCAGCAGUGGGGAAUAUUGGACAAUGGGCGCAAGCCUGAUCCAGCCAUACCGCGUGGGUGAAGAAGGCCUUCGGGUUGUAAAGCCCUUUUGUUGGGAAAGAAAAGCAGCAGGUUAAGACCCCGCUGUUCUGACGGUACCCAAAGAAUAAGCACCGGCUAACUUCGUG
rnacentral:rRNA from 1 species